GUGGCGUUGAUGUGGGUCGGCGUCGCCAGAGUGCUGUUGCUCUCCGUUCCGUUGCCGCUCGCGGUGGUGGAGGUGGAAUCUUUUGGUGACCAUAGGAGGCUGUAGUAGAUGGCCAGGAUGAUCGCGGCUAGAGACACGGAUAAAACAUAGGCGAACACGGUGGCCAGUCUUACCCACUUCUUGUUGGUCUUUGCAGCCAUCUUUGCCUUCUUGUCGCCUGUGUAGGUGGCUGGUUUGCCCCUCUCCAUGUUGGGCAUGAAGUCUCGGUCCCGAUUGGCCCGGGUUUUCCCUCGAUGCUCCACGACUCCGUCCGUUUUGAAGGAUGUUGAGGCUCUUUUACGCGCAGGUUAAAUCGUGUCGCGUUCAUCCAUGGCGCUUGAGCUGUCUCAGAAAUCCGUCAGGAUCUUGCUGCGGCUCGGUGUGGUGCUGCUGAUGCUUCUGGUGUUUUCCAGCAUCCAGCGCAGCUUUUUUCCCCCCGAGGGCUGUGAUGUUUCUGAUCCAAAUAUCACGGGGUGGAUUGGAGAGGGUUGAGAAUGAUGAGACGGAUCAUCAUACUGUACACACAUCUGUGUGUGUGUGUGUGUGUGUGUGUGUGUGUGUGUGUUAUUCAACUGAAGAAGAGGCUUCGUCAGCUAAAAAUACAGGAGAGGAGGAGGAGGAGGCUCUUAAAGGAGCAGCGGAGAAUGAAGAGAGAAAACACACCAGCAUCGUGAUGCUCAUCAGUUCACUCAAGAUUACCAGAUCUUGCUUUGGAUGAAUCCAUCAGAACUCAACACCUGAUGGACAAAUGUGAUCUGUCAAUCAAACAAUAUCCCACUGCCCAAAUACCUUAAAAAUCAUAC